rnacentral:rRNA from 1 species
GACGAACGCUGGCGGCGUGCCUAAUACAUGCAAGUAGAACGCUGAAGGAGGAGCUUGCUUCUCUGGAUGAGUUGCGAACGGGUGAGUAACGCGUAGGUAACCUGCCUGGUAGCGGGGGAUAACUAUUGGAAACGAUAGCUAAUACCGCAUAAGAGUAGAUGUUGCAUGACAUUUGCUUAAAAGGUGCAAUUGCAUCACUACCAGAUGGACCUGCGUUGUAUUAGCUAGUUGGUGGGGUAACGGCUUACCAAGGCGACGAUACAUAGCCGACCUGAGAGGGUGAUCGGCCACACUGGGACUGAGACACGGCCCAGACUCCUACGGGAGGCAGCAGUAGGGAAUCUUCGGCAAUGGACUGAAGUCUGACCGAGCAACGCCGCGUGAGUGAAGAAGGUUUUCGGAUCGUAAAGCUCUGUUGUAAGAGAAGAACGAGUGUGAGAGUGGAAAGUUCACACUGUGACGGUAUCUUACCAGAAAGGGACGGCUAACUACGUG